UACGAAGGGGGCUAGCGUUGUUCGGAAUUACUGGGCGUAAAGCGCACGUAGGCGGCUUUGCAAGUCGGGUGUGAAAUCCCCAGGCUUAACCUGGGAACUGCAUUCGAGACUGCAUUGCUAGAGUAUGGGAGAGGGAAGUGGAAUUUCCGGUGUAGCGGUGAAAUGCGUAGAUAUCGGAAGGAACAUCAGUGGCGAAAGCGACUUCCUGGACCAAUACUGACGCUCAUGUGCGAAAGCGUGGGGAGCAAACAGG
rnacentral:rRNA from 1 species